GGGCAAGAUGAUCAGAUAUAGUAGUCACCGGGGACGUUGACAUUCAGCAGGGGAGAGUGUAACCAGGUUGAAAAGUUGUGUCAAACACAAAACUGUUUUUACCCCCCCCCCUGGGUUAAAUGUACUGCACACACAGUAUGUUUUCAUGCUUUUCUCAUCUGUUGCCAUAAGGUGAUGCUGGCCCUUUAAGAAACACGGCUGUGUGAGUGUCGUGAAGUGCUGCGAGAGCUACAAAUGAGCAGCACGAGUUAUAUUAGUGCAGGGUGAAUGUUCCGCCUAAAAUAGAUGUUCGUCAUCAUUAAAAUCACAAAAUACCGAGAAAUAUGCACAGGCAGUGAAUUAUAUACUCGUUCUCAGUGUGAUGUGAGUUCGGAUGGCUGUGUAGUUUUGCAUACCGACAACUAUUGCUGACGAACUGUUCAGUGUGGGGGAGCUAACUGUUUCUCAAGAUAUUUCAAGCGUAAGUGUUGACGAUAUAAUCUGUAUCGGUGUACUGUUAAAAAAGAACUUCUUUUGUGCAUAAUCUAAUGCAAACCAGUGUUACUGAAACAUGGUUAUUUUGUUUAGAGGGGAGAAAAGUGCUCCAUAGGCCCUUUGUGUUUCCGGUGCGAGUGUAAAGCAUCCAAGUGAGUGUUCACUUUUAUUGAUUGUAACAGUGUUUAUUAGUGCUUCCUUGGAAUGAGUGUAAUAGUAUCAUUGUUCUAAUUCAAUGUGUUCCAAAUGUUAAGGAAAAGUUUGAAUGUUGUCCCUUUAUCAUCUGCAGAGGGAAAUCGAGUCAGCAACUGGCCCUGUUAAUGUGUACAUGUGUUUAAGAGGUGAUGAGUUCAUGAAAGGCUACUACCGUUGUCUUUGUUAGCAAAUAUUGUGGUGGAAAAGAAGUGCACUCAUUUUGAUGUGAAGAUCAAACUUUAUUUUUUCCUACUGGCUGUAAUCACAUUUAUAUUUUUCUGUCACUAUUUUCCAAAGUUUUCAUACUUAAUGCUGCACUGCUCCAAGUGCAGUCUGGAAUAAAAGACCCCAUUUAAAUUUUU